CCCUUAGAUGUUCUGGGCCGCACGCGCGCUACACUGAUGAAUUCAACGAGCUCCUAACCUAGGCCGAAGGGUCCGGGUAAUCUUUGAAAUUUCAUCGUGAUGGGGAUAGAUUAUUGCAAUUAUUAAUCUUCAACGAGGAAUUCCUAGUAAGCGCGAGUCAUCAGCUCGCGUUGAUUACGUCCCUGCCCUUUGUACACACCGCCCGUCGCUCUUACCGAUUGAAUGGUCCGGUGAAAUGUUCGGACCGCGACAAGGCGGACGGUUCGCUGUCAGCUUUGCUGCGGGAAGUUCAUUAAACCUUAUCAUUUAGAGGAAGGAGAAGUCGUAACA
rnacentral:rRNA from 1 species